AUUUUGUAAAUGCAUUAGGUGUGUUUCCCUGGGACCAUUAUGGGGUUCUAAGAAGACUUAACCAAAGCUGAAGAUAUGUCUGGUCACUUUUCCCUCUACUCAAAAAGUAUUGGCCAAGAAAGUUCACCUGUUUCCCUCUGAUGCUCAGCCACGAACAUCCCCUGAAAACUCUUCUCAGAGAUGAUUGUUCCCAGUACCACUGCAGUCUCUCUUCCAACUGACUGAAAAGGGAGCUCACUGUGAGGGGAGUUCCACCUGAGCAGUUCCCCUCCAGCAGUGUUCCUUCUUCCCAAUCAAGUGGCCCCACAAGAUGUCAUUUCUGAAGCUGCAGCUACACUAGGGCAGCAGCUCUUCUUUCUCCAGCUAGACUUUGUUGUAUAGCUGCUGUGAAAAGCCACAGCCCUGAAGUCAAACCACAGUCAAAAACAGCAGCCAGCAUGUGGGCAGCAGUUUGAGAACAAUCUCAGAGUUCUUUGUCAAACCUGUCCCUCUGAUUUGGAUUUGUCUUCACUAUAUGGUUCCCUACCAUUCCUGUUCCCUCUGUAUACCCACAUACAGACUUUACUCUGAAAUCAAUUUCAUAACAGUUAUUAAAUGUUACUUGAAUGUG
rnacentral:lncRNA from 1 species